rnacentral:rRNA from 1 species
GAUGAACGCUGGCGGCGUGCCUAAUACAUGCAAGUCGAGUGAACGGACGAGAAGCUUGCUUCUCUGAUGUUAGCGGCGGACGGGUGAGUAACACGUGGAUAACCUACCUAUAAGACUGGGAUAACUUCGGGAAACCGGAGCUAAUACCGGAUAAUAUUUUGAACCGCAUGGUUCAAAAGUGAAAGACGGUCUUGCUGUCACUUAUAGAUGGAUCCGCGCUGCAUUAGCUAGUUGGUAAGGUAACGGCUUACCAAGGCAACGAUGCAUAGCCGACCUGAGAGGGUGGUCGGCCACACUGGAACUGAGACACGGUCCAGACUCCUACGGGAGGCAGCAGUAGGGAAUCUUCCGCAAUGGGCGAAAGCCUGACGGAGCAACGCCGCGUGAGUGAUGAAGGUCUUCGGAUCGUAAAACUCUGUUAUUAGGGAAGAACAUAUGUGUAAGUAACUGUGCACAUCUUGACGGUACCUAAUCAGAAAGCCACGGCUAACUACGUG